rnacentral:rRNA from 1 species
UACGUAGGGUGCAAGCUUUAAUCGGAAUUACUGGGCGUAAAGCGUGCGCAGGCGGUUGUGCAAGACCGAUGUGAAAUCCCCGGGCUUAACCUGGGAAUGGCAUUGGUGACUGCACGGCUAGAGUGUGUCAGAGGGGGGUAGAAUUCCACGUGUAGCAGUGAAAUGCGUAGAGAUGUGGAGGAAUACCGAUGGCGAAGGCAGCCCCCUGGGAUAACACUGACGCUCAUGCACGAAAGCGUGGGGAGCAAACAGG